rnacentral:lncRNA from 1 species
AAGGAUUAGAAAACGCGGUUGAUGUAGUGGAACAUCUUCGCGAUCCAAAUUGCCGUCGUCCCAUGAUCCGUCCCGAUCUAGCACCGAAUGGAUGGCACCUCCACGUUCAACACACGUACAACUCGAUGAUGAUCUCCGCCUUCUUGAUCUAGCAAGAGAGACGAAGAGGUAGCUGAAUUCUCAGGCAGCACGAUGGUGUGGCGGUGAUGAUGGUGGAGCUACUCCGGCACGGCUUCCCCGUGCCGAACCGAUCUAGCUAUGAGGUGUCACGAAG